AGAGUUUGAUCCUGGCUCAGGACGAACGCUGGCGGUGUGCUUAACACAUGCAAGUCGAACGGUAAGGCCCUUUCGGGGGUACACGAGUGGCGAACGGGUGAGUAACACGUGAGUAACCUGCCCUCAUCUCUGGGAUAACAGUCGGAAACGGUUGCUAAUACUGGAUAUGAGCUUGCAAGGCAUCUUGUGGGUUGGAAAGAUAUUUUUUGGUUGGGGAUGGACUCGCGGCCUAUCAGCUUGUUGGUGAGGUAGUGGCUCACCAAGGCUUCGACGGGUAGCCGGCCUGAGAGGGCGACCGGCCACAUUGGGACUGAGAUACGGCCCAAACUCCUACGGGAGGCAGCAGUGGGGAAUAUUGCACAAUGGGCGCAAGCCUGAUGCAGCAACGCCGCGUGCGGGAUGACGGCCUUCGGGUUGUAAACCGCUUUCAAUUGUGACGAAGCUUUUUUGUGACGGUAGCAGUAGAAGAAGCACCGGCUAACUACGUGCCAGCAGCCGCGGUGAUACGUAGGGUGCGAGCGUUGUCCGGAUUUAUUGGGCGUAAAGAGCUUGUAGGCGGUUUGUCGCGUCGGGAGUGAAAACUUGGGGCUUAACCCUGAGCUUGCUUUCGAUACGGGCUGACUUGAGGGAGGUAGGGGAGAAUGGAAUUCCUGGUGGAGCGGUGGAAUGCGCAGAUAUCAGGAGGAACACCGGUGGCGAAGGCGGUUCUCUGGACCUUUCCUGACGCUGAGAAGCGAAAGCGUGGGGAGCGAACAGGCUUAGAUACCCUGGUAGUCCACGCCGUAAACGGUGGGUACUAGGUGUGGGGGACAUUCCACGUUCUCCGUGCCGUAGCUAACGCAUUAAGUACCCCGCCUGGGGAGUACGGCCGCAAGG
rnacentral:rRNA from 1 species